ACCGUUCCCAAAACUUUCCCCCUACGCGAUACUUCCCAGUUCCCGCCCCCUUUCUCUCACUCUCUCUGCUGUUCUCGACUGCGAUUGUCGACUCCGGUGCUAUUGUCGCCACCAUCUCGCCGCCUCGUCGACACCGGUGAGCUUGUAUUUCAGAUUAUUGGUCUCCAUCCAUCUCUCUCUCUCUCUCGUCUUCGCAAAGUGGUUUCCGAUUGCCCAGUGCCGCCAUCUUCUCGCCAACCCCAGAGCAAGUGGCCCAGGAAAUUCAGCUCGAAAUUCAUAACUCAGCUGCUUUUCAUCUCUUUUGCAGGAGGAACACAGAGUUGGUUGAAAGUGACAGCUGAGAUGCUCGGAUUUCCAGGCCUCAUGCGUGUUAUAUAUUGACAAGCAAAGGAAUGGCUGCUAUGAUUGGUGUUUGUCGAGAUGGAAAUGUGAAAUAUCCCACGAGUAUAAGGGAGUUGAUGCAAUCUUGUAAGGAGCUGUUUUGCUGACCUCUCAUGCCCAGAUGCAUAUUGUUAGAUCUGACUAGAUAUAAUUUAUAAAGAUGGAGGAGCAGUACAUUUGACAUAUUGUGAAUGAUAUAUGUAUUCUCAAUAUUUAGUAGUUAAGUUGUAAGUUUUGGGUUUCGAUUGGUCCACCCCAGUGUAUAUAGCCCAUAACUACAUUAAUGUGAAUUCCCCACCUCAAUGGAUGAAUUGAAUGUCAUUAAUUUAUGUAAUUAGAUGGAAAUGGUUUGAAAAGGUCUAUCAUGGAAUCCUACAUGUUCGGUCAGACAUAUAUAGUGCAAGUUCAAUCUUUUUCCUUUA